AUCAAACGAAACGUCAAAAGCGUGUUUUUUGUGUAUUUUAAAUUUUAUUAUUUCGGAGGCAUUAUCAUGAGAUUAUUAUGGUUAAAACGCAAAUAAACAAGUUUCAGUAUAUCAUAGACGUAUUUUGUCAAUUAAAAUGCGGUGAAAACACAAUAGCCUAUUUCAUGUGAAUAUUUAUUUUUCUCUAAUGUGUCUAAUAACAAGAGUUACAGUGAAUUAAUUUUCUCGUCAACAAUGCAUUUACACGAUAAAAUUUUCCAGUGGUUAGGGCAUAUUAAACUCUCUCGAGUCAUAUUAAUGGUGUCUGUGAUAUUAUUCCUAGUUCCUCUAGUUACUCAUUAUUAUUUAUCUAAGUAUGAAUCAUCUUCAAUGCUAGGAUUAAAUGCAAUGCAUAAUUUAGAUUCAUUAGCUGAUAUAUCAACUGUAAACGCAGAUGACUUAAAACUUAGAAUAAAAGAAAUGUUAAGAAUCAAGGCGUCAGUGUCCACAGAACUUCGUGAAUUGGAGGAAAGACGAAGGCGUCUACAGAAAGAAGCAGCAUUAGCGGCCGCAAAAGCUGAUAGUGUAAAGACUGAAUACGUUAGAGCAUCAGCGGAAUUGCAGCGCUUGAGAGUGUCAGCCGAUCAAGCCAGGCUAGCACAGCUGGAAGCCAUUCGUCGGGACUCCCCAGAAUUGGCCCCACCAGAUCAAAUAUUACCUUCUCGCCCCCACCUCCAUCCUUCCCCCUUAAAUCUUUUAUUAGAAAUUAAUUGUGGUAUGCACUCAUGUUUUGAUCACUCAAGAUGCUCACUUACCUCUAGCUUUCCGAUUUACUUCUAUGACCCUGAUAUAUAUUCACCGUUGGCUAGUGCAGAGAUUGAUGGUUUCUUGAAAACGACACUGCGACAGACUUUAAGUUAUAAUGCGCAAUUGACACGAAUGAGGCCUGUUUAUAUCUCGUGCUUAUUGGGGAAGCGAUUCCAAGCACCAAGACUCUAUCUACAGAGCCAUAUAAAAUGCUAAACGAUAAUAUGACGUCAUAACCCCACCAGCUUUGGGGCCACCGGGUGGUGAUGUUUGGUCCGAAUGUGCCCCAAUGGCCCCAACAAAGAGGAAAUAUCAUCUAAGGGCUCACAUUCACCAGCGACCGCAUCCAAUAAAGACAAUGACAAGCAAUUGAUUGAAUCACUCCAAAACAUUGCCAAAGCGGCGCCAUCUUCUGACGUAUUCUUCUUACAAUUCGAAUGCGAUCCGUCAGUUGA